CCUUAUGGGUUGUAAACUUCUUUUGUAUGGGGCGAACCGUUUCUACGCGUUAGAGACCUGACAGUACCAUACGAAUAAGCAUCGGCUAACUCCGUGC
rnacentral:rRNA from 1 species